UACGUAGGGUGCAGGCGUUAAUCGGAAUUACUGGGCGUAAAGCGUGCGCAGGCGGUUUGCUAAGACAGGUGUGAAAUCCCCCGGGCUUAACCUGGGAACUGCGCUUGUAACUGGCAAGCUUGAGUGUGGCAGAGGGGGGGUGGAAUUCCACGUGUAGCAGUGAAAUGCGUAGAGAUGUGGAGGAACACCGAUGGCGAAGGCAGCCCCCUGGGCUAACACUGACGCCUCAGGCACGAAAGCGUGGGGAGCAAACAGG
rnacentral:rRNA from 1 species